rnacentral:rRNA from 1 species
GACGAACGCUGGCGGCGUGCUUAACACAUGCAAGUCGAACGGAAAGGCCCUGCUUUUGUGGGGUGCUCGAGUGGCGAACGGGUGAGUAACACGUGAGUAACCUGCCCUUGACUUUGGGAUAACUUCAGGAAACUGGGGCUAAUACCGGCUAGGAGCUCCUGCUGCAUGGUGGGGGUUGGAAAGUUUCUGCGGCUGGGGAUGGACUCGCGGCUUAUCAGCUUGUUGGUGGGGUAGUGGCUUACCAAGGCUUUGACGGGUAGCCGGCCUGAGGGGGUGACCGGCAACAUUGGGGGUGGGAUACGGCGCAGACUACGACGGGAGGCAGAAGUGGGGAAUAUUGCAAGAUGGGCGGAAGCCUGAUGCAGUAGCGCCGGGUGCGGGAUGACGGCCUUCGGGUGGUAAACCGCUGGCGCCUGUGACGAAGGGUGAGUGACGGUAAUGGGUAAAGAAGCAGCGGGUAACUACGUG